GUACUUUUGAAUAAAACGCAAUUCGUUCAUGUUGAUUCAACUUAGUGCUCCAGGGAAGACGCUGACUUGGAUUUCUUGCUUAAUGAACCUUUUGCUAUAUAUUUUUUCUCAGCGGUUUUCUAUAACUGAGUACUUCAUGUAAAAAGAAUAUAGGGGAUCUUGAGAACUAUAGUUAUUUUUUGUUAGGAAAGGACGAUUAAUUGAUGAAUAUAUACAUUGGAAGAAGUUUAUAAAAUAAUGAAUAAAAUUCAGACUAUUUUUCCC